rnacentral:lncRNA from 1 species
AGUGGAGAUCGUGCCACUGCACUCCAGCCUGGUGCCUGGCCACAGAACGAGACUCUGUCUCAAAAAAAAAAAAGAAAGAAAAGAAAAGAAAAGAAAAAAAUGAUUUCAAGUAAUAUUAUUUCUAUGUGACUUAAUAAUGAACUUCUAAGACGGUCACAUAGCUCACUAUUGUCUCUUCUAAAACACACACAUCAUUCCUUUUUUGCUCUGUAGGAACUCAUUAUACAAUGACAAAUGGAGGCAGCAUUAACAGUUCUGCACAUUUACUGGAUCUUUUGGAUGAACCAGUUCCAGGUGUUGGUACACAUCAUGAUUUCCAUACUAUCGACUGGGUGAGAGAAAAAUGUAAAGACAGAGAAAGGCAUAGACGGAUCAACAGCAAAAAGAAUCAGCAUGGGAAAUGACAAAAAGUUUGUAUGAUGUGUGGUUAGGAUGGCUAGUAGUAACACUAACAGGAUUGGCAUCAGGGUGUUGACUGGAUUAAUAGACAUUGCUGCUGACUGGAUGACUGGCCUAAAGGUGGGCAUUUGCCUUAAUGCGUUGUGGUACAACCUCGAACGGUGCUGUUGGGGAUCUAAUGAAACAACAUUUGAAGAGAGGGAUAAAUGUCCAUAAUGGAAAACAUGGGCAGAAUUAAUCACAGGUCUGUUAGAGGUAAGUCUUGUUUUGUCUCAAGAUGAAUUAAUAACUGAUAAAGCAAAAAUGUUUCCAAUUCAUUUGUUUAUAGAACUAAUUACAUAUUAGAUGAUUGCAUCCACAUUAAAUGGAUCCACCCUCAACACAUUGCAGCAAGAAUGAAUUAAGUGCAGUAUUGUUUCAAG